rnacentral:miRNA from 1 species
UCCCCAUGUGAUUGACUAGUGUGG